GGAAUAAGAAAAAAAAUUGGAGCAAUGAGAUUAAUGGACUUGGAUUAAUGUGAUAAUGCAUCUCUGAAUUUGAGCACAUACCCGCCCACUUACCUGUGUGAAUUCAAGAAUGAAAUGAAAACUCACUUUACUGUGUGGGCAUGAGGAUGGACUCAAGGACUGUGACAGGAGAUGUUAAGAUUGCAGCCAUGAAGCUCUGUAAGUAAAGUCACCUCCACAUCCUUAAAGGCACAUCGAUGACUAUCAUUAGCCUCUUGAAGAGAUGCAACUUUAUUAAACUUGCUGUUGCCGUGACAUUUUAGCCUUGACAUUUCAACAUCAAUUGUUUGCUGUUUUAGUUUAUCUCAGUAUAGUCAGCAAGUGAGAAAUGAAAGACUCCUACUGUUCCAGGUUGAUUAUAUAUCUACAUGCAGGUAUUUUCAGAUUCAACAAAUCAGUAAAGGGGUUAAGAAUUUUAUUUUAAACAUUUGCUUAAAGCCCUUUAAGGACACUUUUGAACAGAACUUUAAUUCUACUAUUUAAGAACAAUGAUUGUUAAUAACAAAAAAGUUAAAUAAAAGAACAGUGUGAGGGGUCAUCUGAUUUCAUGUCACACUGUGAGUAGUAAUAAGGCCUACGUGUCAUGUUUAAAAUAUAUUAAUCUUUAUAGCUCUUAGAGCGCACCGGAGCUGCCCCCAGGGACCUAUGACAGGGACUUGUGUCAUGGCUGGCCACAGAACUGUCACUCUGUGUACUGAUGUUGGCAUUUUUACACCUAUUGUACACUUAUCAGCCUUAUUUUCUCAUCAUAGUCUUACUUUCUGAUUGCCACACAAUUUUUGGCCUUUUUUUUGUGAACUCAUAUUCAAGUGAUCAUGAUAUUCUAAGCAAAGAUUAUUUGGCAUCAGUUGCAAAACUAUACUUUCCAAACACAUGUGAAAAAGGAGUUUAAACAAAUUAGGCAUUUCUAGCUAUGCAAUUGACGGUGUUUAAGAAUCAUUUGUUAAUUCUGCAUCAGAGUGCUGGGAUUAUAAGUGUGAGCCACUGUGCCUGGCCUCAGAAGAGUUUUAAUGAAGUAAGGAUGCUGGGAGAGGAAUGAGUUAACAGGGAAUUGGGGUUGUGUAGAAGUAUAAAAUGGAGAAGGGGGGAGUUAAAGAAAGACUUGACUUAAGGAUUGUAUCCAAAGUUGGCCAUUGCUAAGAUAGUGGCUCUAUUUCUUUCCAUUUGAAUCCUACAAAAAGAAAAUUGAGAAACGUUACAUAUUUUCUCUUAUUAUUCUAUAUUAGGGGUUUCUACUCCUCAGGGCAUAGAAACUAAAAGGGUGAAAACUAUAAUAAAGUAAUUUCCUUUUUCCCUCUUUAAAGGGCGUGCUGAAUUAGAAAGAGCACUGGUUUAAGAGUCAGGAACCCAAUUUACUAGUUUUGCUCUGUUUUAAUUAAUCGUGUGACUUUGGGUAAAUAAUUUAGCCUAAUUGAACCUCAGUUUCCUAAAAAGAUGAUUUCUAAAGCUUAGCUUUAAGUUCAGUUAUUCCAAUGAGUUAGAGAGUCUCUCAACCAAAAAGCAAGUAGUCAUGUACAUUUAUCAUUUUAAUAAAGAUAUAUUCUAUUAAUUUGGAAAAGCUGAAGACAGUAUUAAUUUUCCUCCCACAGUCUUAAUGAAGAAAUAAAGAAACUAAUUUUCCAUUACCAUUCAAGGGGCAAUCCACUCCUUCACAGAUUGUGAAAUUAAUGUAACAGAUCCAACCAACUGAACAAUCUAUGCAUCUUUCUUCCCCUCUCCAAUUCCAAGCCUUGGAACUGUAUUUUACAUUAAAAAGUUUAAAAGUUAACUAAAAAUUAAUGCAGUUUUAAGACUGCAGCUUACAUAUAAUAUAAUGAAGUUAGAGCAAAAUAUCUGCAGUGUCCAGUAUCUUUGAGUAAGUAACAUUUAUUAUUACCUAUGUCUGAAGCACAGCAGAUGUUGUGAUCUUUACUAAUUAUAAUUUCCC
rnacentral:lncRNA from 1 species